rnacentral:ncRNA from 2 species
GCAACGCCAAUGAGCGGGAAAGUAAAAUGAUGGGAGCUGGACAGAGAGCCCGGGCUUGGUGGAAUCCGGGUCAGAGCCAUCCUUUGAAAAUCACCCGGGAGGUACCUGCUGAAACCUUUUGACACAGGGAGUAGGUUGGGUCGGUGCGCCGCCGUUAAAGGUGUUCGGAGUGUUCAGGCGUGGUCCUGUUCAUGAGGGUGGUACCGCGGGUAAUCAGCUCGUCCCUUUG